ACUUAAGUAGCUUAUUUAGAGUUUAAUAUUGAAGAUAUUAAGGAGGUUUAGAAUUAAAAUCUUUAAGUA
rnacentral:tRNA from 1 species